AUGAAAGAAAAUCCAUCUAUUAGUGUGACCAUUCUCUUAGCAUAUCUUAUUCUAGCCAUCGGAGGAAAAGAAGUAAAGUGUAUCAGACGAGAAGAAAAUACUAGCGGGGUCCCACUGAAUCAAAAAGUCAAUAAGACUAUUCUGGUUGACGGAAGAGAUGUUUAUGACUGCAUCGAUGUGAAUCUACAACUAGCCUUUAGCCAUCCACUACUAAAAGACCACAAAAUCCAGAUGGAACCAAGCUCUUUCCCACAAAGUAUUUCUACCAAAUCUCCGUCGAUGGAUGUCAUCCCACAGGCCCAAUUGCCCUUGAUUGAGUGCCCUACAGGAAUGAUUCCGAUAUUGCGUAACAAUAGAAGGGUCCAGACGCCAAUAGAAACUAUUGAUAAAGUGACUACCAAUGAAGAACAUGAGGUUGCAGGAGUGGAGUAUUAUGAUGAGCUAUAUGGAACGCGGGCUAAAAUAAAUAUCUAUAAUCCUAUGGUGAAAAAUAAUAAUGGGAUCGGGGCUGGUUCUUGGGUAUAUCCAAGCUACAGUGGUGACAACUCUGCUAGGUUUCAUGUUGCUUGGGUUGAUGGCUUAAAGACUUGCCCUGAUCAUGAUUGUGGCGUUUUCGUGCAAGUUAGCUCAAGUGUUGGUCUAGGAGGAAGACUUAAACCAGUUUCUGUCUAUAAAGGACCACAAUACAUGAUAGAUGUUGCUAUUUUCAAGGAUCCAGUGACUAAACAUUGGUGGGUGGCUUAUGGUCCACAAAACAUACAUAUUGGAUACUGGCCAAGAGAAAUUUUCCAUUUCAUGAAGGAUCAAUGUAAUUAUGCAUUAUGGGGUGGAUAUGUUCAAGGUCCGACAGCAUCAUCAGACUCUCCACAAAUGGGUAGUGGCCAUUUUGCUUCCGAAGGACUUGGAAAAGCAGCAUUUGUGAGAAAUAUCGAAAUUUUAAAUAAGAAAAACAAGUAUGUUAUUCCAGAUGAAAAUAAAUUUGGGUAUGUCACCACCAAUUUAUCCAAAUAUACUGCAAAAGGUUCUGUUGAUGGAUAUAGUCAGUUUGGUGUGCAUACUUACUAUGGUGGACCUGGUGGUUUUGUUUGA
rnacentral:rRNA from 1 species